rnacentral:rRNA from 1 species
AUGGUCUUGAUCAGAUUUCAAAUGCAGUUUGGGGGUGUUAAGUCAUUUGUUUUGGCAGUAAAAUCAUCGCCUCAGUUGGAGGAGGAAUUCUAUAAGUGUGCAUCUGAGUGUGGGUUGUCCACAGAAAAAGGUCUACGGCUGGAUGUCCAAACAAGGUGGAAUUCUACAUACCACAUGUUGAGUGAUGCCCUAUAUUAUAAGAAGGCCUUUGAUAGGUUGCAUGAGAUUGGCAAAAAGAAGUUUGGCAAGUUUGCUCCAACAGCUGAUGAUUGGGACAAGGCUCUUACCCUU